rnacentral:rRNA from 1 species
ACGUAGGGGGCAAGCGUUAUCCGGAAUUAUUGGGCGUAAAGAGUGCGCAGGCGGCUUUUUAAGUGCGAGGUGAAAUGCAACGGCUCAACUAUGGUAAGCCUUGCGAACUGGAAGACUUGAGUGCAGGAGAGGAAAGUGGAAUUCCUAGUGUAGCGGUGAAAUGUGUAGAUAUUAGGAGGAACACCAGUGGCGAAGGCGGCUUUCUGGACUGUAACUGACACUGAGGCGCGAAAGCGUGGGGAGCAAACAG